rnacentral:rRNA from 1 species
ACACGUAUGAAAGACAAGCUGAAAGACUUUUCUCAAUGAUGUAAGUGGUGGUGCAUGGUCGUUCGUAGUUCGUGGAUUGAUUUGUCUGGUCUAUUCCGAUAACGAGCGAGACCCCUACGUUCCUAAUAGGGGCGGUAGCCCGGCUUGCCCGCUUCACGGCGGGCUUGCUAGCUGCCGCCUCACAUAGGCUUCUUAGACGUAUCAGAGCCGAUAAGGUUCUUGAAAUGGGUUAAUAACAGGUCAGUCAUGCCCUUAGAUGUUCUGGGCCGCACGCGCGUUACAAUGGCAUGUAAAGCGAGUGCUCGUUAGGGCGUUUCCGCGGCCUACGGGUCGCGGUAAUCCCUAGUCCCUGCCUUGACUGGGACAGACUAUUGUAAUUAUUGGUCUCAAACGAGGAAUUUUUAGUAGUCGCAGGUCAUUAGCCUGCGACGA